rnacentral:tRNA from 1 species
GGAUGUAUAGCUUAGUGGUAGAGUGCAUGCCUAGCAUGCAUGAGGUCUGAGUUCAAUCCCCAGUACCGCUG